ACACUGUGCUGAGGGGACCCGAGAGGGGAGGCAAGUGAUCCAGCAGGGUCACAUAGUGAGCCAGGGACCCCUCCCUGGACUUCCUGUCGGGGGUCCAGUUCCGUGUUUUCUGGGCUGUUCCCCUCCUGCUUAGGGACCCCUGCGAAAGGACCCCUGGGGAUGCUGGGAGCCCUGAGACGCCCUUGAGAGUUUGUAGACUCGUACUUCCACUCUGAACCUCCCCCAGGCAGUUAUCUCAACACCCACUACACCCCUACUUUACGCGGGUUUUCCUGCUCCAGGAUCCCCAGGACAGAACAGACAUAUCCCCCAGGAAAGACCUCUGCCAGUUCCUUUCUCUUUGCCCUCUGUCUCCUUCCAGCCCCCUAGUUCUAAGCAGACCCUCAGAGCUGGGAAAUUGAUGGCGCUGUCCCUUUAACCACUUUUUACUGGAAGGAGAGUGCGCUGGGAGGAGGGAAGAGGGGGAGGGAGUUUCUGGUUUUGCAUGAAGCAGCAGAACAUGAUGAAGCAUUUUUCCCCCAUCUAAAGAUCCAGUCGUGCUCCAGUUUGCAGAGGGCAAGGGGCUGGUUGCAGGUGGUGCUGGGAGGAUGGAGUGGGGGCUUAUUUGGCCUCCCCAGGAUGGACUGGAGCAUCAGUAGUGCCCGGGUUUAUCACAGGACAGAUACUCAAGACACUCUUAUCACCAUUAGGUGGACUUGGAGGAGCAAAAAACAAGUGCAGUGGCUCCUCAGCAGAGACACUCCUGAAUGUAUAGACAUGGGAACCACCUUCAGCAUCAAAAAAGGAAACGUUCUGCAUGCCCAUAUCCAGAAAAAUCCCCACUCGCUGUAACUUGCGGUCUACGAAGAGGAAAGUCAGCGGCACCGUGCUGGCAGAGAGGCGGCUUCCAUCCCUCAAACUCACAGUCCAGAAUCCACGCUCUGUGGUCAGAUGGAUCCUCCCUUUGCGGUGAACAGAUUCUCUGCAGACUCCCAGGUCCCAUUCUGUGCUUGUUCCCACGUCCACCUCCCAGUAGUGGCGGCCACAGGUAAAGCGAGGGGAGCCCAGGAUGCAAAUGGACACGUCAAAUCUCUCGGCAAGGUCUUGCCGAUUCUGUGUGAUGCACCCACUUCGGACGCUCCUGAGGUCGUCAGAAAUGAGGAGGAAGUUGUUGGCUGUGUCGGCAUCCAAGGUCAUAUCCACUGUGAAAAGGAAAAAAAGUUGAUCAGAAAAUGGACAGAAGCCAACCCCAUGCCUCUCCUCUACUUCAAAGGCCCAAAUAUCUCUUGACUUUGGUUUCUUUAAUUCUCUUCUUCCCCCAAAAUCAAAACUUUUCAUGAGGCAACUUCCCUGACUAGUUCAAAUUCUCAUAGGUAUGCUUUGUGGCAAUACCCAACUCUUAUUCACAGUAGCAAUUAUUUUACUUUAUGUCACGUGUUUGCUUCAUUGGACUUUUCUUCAUUUAGAGUGGAGGGUCUCUGAAGGCAGACACCAUGACCCCCUUUCUACCACCUUGAUGCAUGAAAAAAUGAAUGAUAAUUAAGACAAUGCAAAUGGUCGAUGUUAAAUAUGUUUCUGCUUCCAUCUUGUAUUGCUCAACUCAGUAUAUAGAGCAUGAUUCCAGGCCUUUGUUUUCCAUGUUUGUAAGCAAAUUAAUUGUGCAUGGUUCUGACAGCAGGUAGGGUAUCUCUGCAGCUGACAAUGUGAUGACAGAGGUGCCGGUCCUGGACAUUAGGAGGCUCCAAGGCCAGGAGGAAGAGGGGGGCCUUAGAUGAAAGAAUGUUUUCCAUCCUACAUGGGAGGUGAAACCUUAAGCAAAACAAUGGUAAAUUUUGGAGUGAAGAGAAAGGUAUUUGAAAGUUGUUUGUUGGCUGAGCGCGGUGGCUCACACCUGUAAUCCCAGCACUUUGGGAGGCCGAGACGGGUGGAUCACGAGGUCAGGAGAUCGAGAC
ensembl:lncRNA RFPL1S RFPL1 antisense RNA 1